rnacentral:lncRNA from 1 species
GGAAGGGCGCCGGUGGCAGCCCGCCUCAUCUGCUGCUGCUGUCGACGGUGGCGUGGUGGCUGCGACGCCGAGGGUGGCGCGGCUUGUCGCUGCUGCUCCUCCGGCGAGCACCACGGAGGGCGGCUGUUACCAGCCGAAGAGAGAAAGGCAGAGAGGGCGAUGGAAGAGAGGUGUGCUGACGGUGGUGGCGUGGAGCCACUGACCGCGGCUGCCGAACCUAGAACAGGGGGAGUUGAGAGAGCUGGGGUUGAGAAUCGAGGGAGGACGGAAGAGGGAGGAUUGGCGACGGCGGCGGUGGCUUGAUGCUCCUGUUUCUCGUCGAUUCAGAGAGAGUCGGAGUCACCGGUCGGCGGCAGCUUUUGUUGUUGCGUCGCCGGAGAAUAGAGAGAGUAUGAGGGAUGGCGUCUGUGGGUGUUGGUGCGAUGAGGGAGAUGAGAGAGGGGAGAGCCGAGCGUCGUCAGCGGCUGCCGCUGUUGCUACGGCAAGCUUCGGCGGCGAUGGUGGCGGCAUGAAGCUGCUGCCGUCGGCCAGAGUUGAGCAAGGGCUCGGCGAGCCUGAAUCCGAGAGGGAGACAGAGACGGUGGUUGGUUCCAGAUGCUGCGG